CAACAAUCUCAGCCAUAAAACUAGCGCAUUCAUGGGAGGCUUACUGCCUUAGCCACAGCAGCACUGAUCAUCACUGGUGCCGCUCCGAGCCGCAACCGCGGGGCUGAAGCCCUGCCGAGUACCCUUCCUGCCUUAGGUUUUCCUUUUUUGACGCAUCAGUUGACACCGUGACUCCCACCGCCUCUGGAACACCCAUAUCGAAGCCUACCCGACGGUCCCCAGUUGCACUGACCUUUCUUCUGUCCCGCCAGCACAGCACCUCCUGGGGGUGCGCCGUCAGCCCCCGGAAAGAGCGCAUUUCCUGCACUAUCAUUAGGAAGAAGGACACGUGCCCAUUUUGUUGUGCCACGCCUGGAAUAUUGCCACACAUCUAACUGUUCUCCUGCCCCGUCAGAUGUCCCCGGUACCGGUACACCGUAUUCCCCUUCCCUUACCCGGCACGCCGUCACC